rnacentral:rRNA from 1 species
AUUGAACGCUGGCGGCGUGCUUAACACAUGCAAGUCGAUCGGUAACGCGGGGGCAACCCUGGCGACGAGAGGCGGACGGGUGAGGAACGCUUGGGAAUCUGCCCUUCAGCGGGGGACAACCCGGGGAAACCCGGGCUAAUACCGCAUACGCUCCACGGAGGAAAGCCGGGGACCGCAAGGCCUGGCACUGAAGGAUGAGCCCAAGUCGGAUUAGCUGGUUGGCGGGGUAACGGCCCACCAAGGCGACGAUCCGUAGCUGGUCUGAGAGGACGAUCAGCCACACCGGAACUGAGACACGGUCCGGACUCCUACGGGAGGCAGCAGUGGGGAAUAUUGGACAAUGGGCGAAAGCCUGAUCCAGCGACGCCGCGUGGGUGAAGAAGGCCUGCGGGUUGUAAAGCCCUUUCGGUAGGGACGAAAGCUCUUGCCUUAACACGGCAGGAGGAUGACUUAACCUACAUAAGAAGCACCGGCUAACUCUGUGCCAGCAGCCGCAGUAAAAC